UUGAUCACCCGCCUGAGGAUUGGCCACACCCGCCUCAACGCUCACCUGCACCGCUUGAACAUGGUCCAGGACCCACACUGCCCAUGGUGCCCCACACAACCCGACACACCAGAACACCUCCUCCUCCACUGCCCGAGAUUCUACUCCCUCCGCACCAACCUCAAAGCAUCCCUAACCAGCCUCCACAUCCACAGGCCAACCCUAGAGGACCUGCUGGGCAGCGACACCCUCAACCCCAACACAGCCUUCCAAGUCAUCAAGUGUACGCAAACCUUCCUGCAGAAGUCGGGGCAACUCGACAGAAUCUAACUCCACCCUGGUGACAGAACGACAAACAAAAACCUGAUACCAACUACCACUGACGGGGCUCUAGAGGCUGUGGCCCCACAGCCUAACUAGCCCCAUAAAACCACCCAAGAAGAAGAAGAAGUCCUCCCACCCUGGUGACAGAACGGCCAGCACAAAAGACAACACCUGAUAACAACUACCACUGACGGGGCUCAAGAGGCUGUGGCCCCGCAGCCUAACUAGCCCCAUAAACCACCCCAGAAGAAGAAGAAGAAGAGAGGGGGCACGAUGGGUGAGCUGGGCGACACUCGGGGCUACCUGGAGCUGUCCAAGGACCCGGUGAGGUUCGAACCGGUCAGCAAAGUGACGAAUGUGUUCUUUGACGACACCAGCAAGGAGGUCCUCAGUGUGCGAGGUGGGGGCACGCUGGGUGUGGUGGUGCGGGGGCAGGGCCGGGACCACACUUUCAGGAUGGAGGAUAAAGGACCCAUCUCCUCCCUCAAGUUCUCACCAGACCACACUGUCUUAGCCGUGCAGCGCUCCAAGAAUGCUGUGCGACGAGAAGCACCCAGCGCCACCCCACGCUGAGCCAUCUUUCCCUUCAACGAGACUCAGCCACAACACAGAUCAUCAUGUCCCGCACUUUCUAUUUGCUGCUUUUACUUGCCCCCCACGGAGUCCUCCUCACCAGCCAAACGAGAGAACUACAGGUCAGCUUCAUCCACCCUGAGUUCCCUGUUGUCAAGAUUAAGGCCAACUGCGACCCGUCUUCAGGUCGAAAGAUGAUUUUGGAUGUUUACAAGUGCCCCAUGAAUGCAAGUCAACCAUAUUUACCAGUGUCGUUAAAGGGAGUCUGCGAGGAGGAGGGCGGGACACACUGCCUCACCGAAGACCUUCGGGGCGAGGAUUGCUUCGCUAUAUCAGGAUAUUUUUGGAAAGAAAAAACCUUGAAGUACACGUCUUCCGAGCUCAGCCUGGCCAACGUGACCUUUUUCAGCAGAGAAUUUACGGUUGAAGCCACAUCCUGGAAACAACAAGGCAACACAUCGGUGCUCCACCUCAAGCCAGUGGCCGGGAUUCCCAUCUACAUGCUCAAGCUCGAGGAUGCCAGUCAAAACAAGAGCGGGAACUGCAGCUCUCUGGUCCUGACGGGUGGCACGGAGGAGCCAUUUGACACAAUUGUCUUCACGGCACACUGGCACCAACAAGUCUUCCCGGGCUGCACCUACAGGGUCUGGUUCAGGCCGAGGACCGAAUGUCAAAAAGAUAUGAUCGGCGCCAAGGACAAGGAACUGCCGAGGCUUCAGUACGUACAAGCGAGCAAAGAAGUACACCAGCCCGACCAUCAUGCUGCUGGGAGAAGUCGGUUCAGGCGCAGUGCAGUGUUGAGGCCCGUCACUCAGGUGGGCAAUCAGCACGCCGCUCACCAUACAAGGCAGUGCAGACGACAGACGUUCCCAUGCCUCCUGCCGCUCGGUCCGCCUCUUCCCGUCUUGUCUCUCCGGCUGCAUGGAUUAGCAGGUCAUCGCUAAGCCCAUAAGCUGAGUGACGACCGACAUCGCCUCGACCUGCACCCCCGCCAUCAGCUGAGACCUGACCUUUUUUGACCUGGGGUUGACCUGGGGCUUAACACCUGACCCGCCACCCGGAAGACGACACCACCUCUCGCACCGACGCACUGCACUCCACCACCUCCCCCCCCCCCCUUCCCUCCUCUAUUUCAUCACAACUUUUCCACAAUGUAAUCCACAGACCCCCUAUACCCCUUUUAUAUUGCACUAUUUGAACAUUGUAUUUUUAAUAUGUAUAUUUUCAACUUAACAGCUGCAAUCACUUGAUAAACCGAUUAUUAUUAUUAUUAUUAUUAUUACACACACACACACACACACACACACACACACACACACACACACACACACACACACACACACACACACACACACACACACCAUUUUCUUCUGGAUCAUUUUAUAAGACUUUUUCUGGACCAAUUUAUAACACGCACACAAUAUCAGUGCUGCUAAUACGUACAUGGUUGUUUAUUUUUUCUUCCACAUGAAAUACUGGUCGAGGAGCCUAGGACCGGAAAACUCUUUGUGGCGUCAGUGGCGACGGCGGGCUUGUUGACCUCAUUGGCUAUGGUGCUGUUGUUUGCCGUCAUUCAUCACGCCUGGAAGUCUCGACGAAUUCAAAGUUCAGUCCCGGACAGAAGUGAAGACACAGAUAGCAUAACACCUCAGUCAACUGCCGAAAACUUGCAACUAAUAUAUAAACCACGAAAGUCGCCGCCAGUGACGGUGCGCAAGGCGGCUCCCAGAACCGUCCUGCUGGUGUACACGCCAAACCUUCACCGUCAGAUGGCUGCCCUCGCCGCCCGCUUGAAAGAGAUGACGGAACUGCAGAUCCAGGACCUUCACGAUAUGAGGGACCAGGACAAGCUGAACGACCCGGUGUGUGGGUGACUCGACGCCUCAUGGACCCCAACACCCGCUUCGUGCUGGCCUGCUCUACCGUCCACCACGACAACAAAGAGCCCAGUCAAGAGCUUCAAGGAGGCGCCACCCACUUCCUCCUCGACGACUUCCUUCAGCACUUGCGUUUAUCCAGUCUUGCCUACGACUACACGCCUCCAUCUGGUCAGCUUUGAAGAUGAGCCGCAAGUCGAGGUGAGGGAUGUGACGCCGGGCCGUGUGUACCAGCUUCCUGCCCACCUGCCUCAACUGGCCCAGAACCUUACCCUCGCCACACCCUCCACCACCACCAGCCCGUCGAACACAUCCUGUUAACCCAUAUGAUGCAAGACCCCCCAAUUAACCCUAUCCGAUCCCACGUUUUUAAAUAUUCACGCUCGUAACACCUAGCCUCGUACUCAUUUAUCUGAACAACGAUAACGCUCAUGAACACUAAGUACUGGUACCGAAUCAAUAGUGUAAAACAAUAGUGAAUAAUGAGCGAAAAGAAACUAGUGGAAAGUAAAAAAUAAAAAGUGUAUCGUUUUGAUCGAAGUGCCUGAAGGGAGGCCAGAUUUGUCCCCCCUCGGAUCGGGUAGGGUUAAGCAAUUCCUGAGCGAAUGACAGAGUACACCCAGGGCAAUGUAUGAACCUGAAAAGCACUCCUCCCUUUACCUUGCACCUCACCUCAUCAUCGUCAUCAUCAGCAUAAUCAGCCAUUACUAGUCCACUGCAGGAUAAAGCGCUACCUCAGGGGCCUCCAUCUUUCGGGGGAGGCUUCGUGGUGCAGUGGUUAGCACACUUGGCUCACAACCGAGAGAGCCCGGGUUCGAUUCCCGGGAGGAGUGGAAAAACUUGGGCUGCUUUUCCGAUACCUUACGCCCCAGUCCACCCAGCAGUAAAUGGGUACCAGGUAUUAAUCGGGGGUUGUGUCCCGUCUCCUGGGAUCUGUUCCCUUCUCCUAUAAUUCCUUCCCCUCCUGUCUCUCUCCGGCAUAUGACCACAGAUGUUGCACCGACUAAACCAAACUUUCCAACUUUUUCCUCCAUCUUUCUGUCUAAAGUUAGGAGUACUCCCUCAACCUGACAAAUACUCUAAUUUCCUCUUCUCACCGAGUCAUCUGCCUGUAUCUGUUAUCAGUUUUAUGCAUGAUGUGACCUGCCUUCGCCCAUUUCCUAUUCUAAUAUUCACUAAAAUAUCUUCAGCCUUUGUCUGUUUCUGUCUGUCUGUCUCGCUUCCUAUCUCUCCAUAUUAUACCCAGCAUUGUUCUAUCAAUAUAAGAAUAAGAAUGAGAGAAUGAGAACGAGAAUUAACGUUAUCAGGCAAAUGAGUGCCCGUGGGUUGAAUCGACUCGGUAACUUGCCCAGGUUUACACUCUUAUUUUAUAUGUUUGGACAAUAACUAUGUGUUCAUUGUACUUCUGAUAGUACCCAAAGACCUCUACAUUCCAUUAUUGUUACCUAAUUCUGUGUUAAAGCCAUGGGAGAUGGAUUACAGAUGAUUUCCUUGAAAUUUUCACCAAGGAAUCAUUCGUAUUCUUUUGUGUCGCUCUUUUUCAAGCUCAGUUUUCUCGCCUGCUAUACAGUGUUUCACCACAAAUAUUAUUUUGUCUUACCGAUGAAACGUUAUGCUGCCAUCCCUGCCUCUGUGGGCGCAACCAAAGGCAGAGCAAGCCGGCAUGAAGGCAAAAUGUUGAGGUGUGUGGGUGUCGCUCGUCCGGCCAGCCGGGCAAUGUUAUGGGCCAUGACUGCUUCACUCCUGUGACGUCAUGCCCUCUCCUCACCCGUUUUCGUUCGCUAGCCAGCGAACGAAAGCCUUCCGUGCGCGAUCGGGUCUUACAGUCGCUCUUGGCCGCUGCUUUUCGCUCGCUCGCGAACGAAAAAUCGGCGUUUUGGUAAGGAGAUUUUGGGGAGCGGUUGAGGUGACGAAAACGAGAUUUGUAACCAAUGCAUUCAAAGUAAAUGAGUAAAUCUGCAAUGAUAUAACAUACCUAGCAUGCAGAGAGCAUAUAUAAGGCAAAUAAUUAUUCAAAACACCUUUAUUUUUGUUGUACAAGCGUUUUAUUGGGCAGCGUAUCGUACACCGCCAGCACAACAGAGUCUGUCGUCUAAGCCAAAGCAAUGGAUAUUUUCGGUAAGUACAUUUAGUGUUUUAUUUAUCUAUUGACAUUUCUUUUUGAAAAUGUUGUAUGUAGUUGUCUUCGUGGUUCAUACGAGUGUGCUGAUAGGGUUAACAAACUAUUGCAUACCUGUGGAUUUGGUGGCACUCAAUCAACAUGAAUUCUAUUAUGAAAUAUUAAGAAUAUAUAAGACAGCCACCCAAAAAACAUUCAAGGUAUAAUGGAACUAUUCAAAGUAGUUGGUCCCAGACAGUGGGGAAGAAAAAACAAAAACUAUGGAAUUACACCCAUCACGGGUAGUCACCAGUUUAUUUUGAAUAUAUUUUUAUGUACUAAUCAGUACGACUGUUUGUGUUAUGAAUAACUAGAUAAGAAGUGAUAGGCUUCUGUCUUACAGUGAAAGGUAACUAUAUUAGCUCUGAUAGAUUCAGACGGCAUUAGGGUACUAAUUAUUAGGUUUGCUCAGUUCCGUGGAAUCAUAUAUAAUUCUCAAUCUAUUUAGUCGCCAUAUUUUAUUUUAGCAGCAAUAGGUUAAUUAUUAUCCUUAGCAGUGAUAGGUUACUAUCCUAAUGUUGAGCUGCAGCUCUAAGAUAGUGUCAUUUGCCCUGACAGCUACUUCACAGUGUUUCCACAGCAAUAAGAUGAUUUUUCUCACUUAUUUAAAAUACUGACUACAAUAUUAAUUUCUUAAUAAUUUUUGGGAAUGGCAGUUAAGGAGAUUUUUUUAUAUUUUCUUGAAAUAGCUGUGUUGUUAUUCUGUAAAUAUUUUGCUCCAUUGUUCUCGUCAUUGUAUUCUGGUGCAACAGUUAUUUCCAUACGAUAAAGCAUCAUAGGUUACCCCAAAAAUUGAAGGCAGUCUCUGAAAUAUACCACUCAGGUCAGGCCAAAAUCUUCAGGUAGGUUAUGUAGGAUUGUGCAGGAUAGGUUCGACUCAGCCCCCUUCCUAUCUUUCAGUUUAAAAAAAUUAAAGUUGGGGGCAAAUGCUAUAGCUGCAUUAGCAUUACAAUUUGUUAUUCCAUUCAUCACUCUGUCCCUCAGUCACUGUUAUAGUGUACUUGUUUAAAUUUUCCAGCUUGUUUCUUUCUCAGUUCUCUUGUUUUCUGCACACCCAACAUUUAUUUAUUUUCAUCCUAAUUUCAACAUGACAGCAUUUUUUUUUAAUAAUACUUUAUGUACAUAUGUCUCUCCCAUAGGAUGUGGAAUUCUUCUGAGUCUUAGGAUGCUUGUCACAGUGAAAUACCUGGUCACAAGCAAUUUCCUCUUCACCAUAGCUGACUGCAUAUAAAUUGUCGUCAUCAGGUAGCAGGGCUAUUGGAGAUGUCAACUGAUAUACCUGGUACCCUUUCUACAUAUAAUUUCUCUAUCAGAGGAAGCACACCAUGUGUCCGAAAAAGUUUAUGAUGUUGCUGGUAUGGCAGGAGUUACAAAGAGUGUCAGGGUCAAGGUUAGACUACACCGAGGAUCAGUCCGCUCAUUCUCAGUAGUGAUGUACAGGCUGACGGAUGAGGUCAGGCAGCAGUCUCCGUGGACCAUGAUAUUUGUGGAUGACAUUGUGAUAUUUAGUGAAGGCAGGGAAGAAACUGAAAAUGAACUAGAGAGGUGGAGGUAUGCACUGUAUAAGUGGGAUGAAAAUCAGCAGGAGCAAGACUGAGUACAUGUGAGUGAGCCCUACGGAGAUGGUACAGUGAGGUUUCAGCGAGUGGAGUUGGCAAAAGUUGAUAAGUUCAAAUACUAGGGCUUAACAGCCCAAAGCAAUGGAACGUGUGCUACAGAAAGGAAGAAAAGAGUACCGUACUGGCCAGAUGGAAUGUAGGGAGAAUGGUGACACGAUCAUCCAAUAUUUCUGCUCCAGGACAAAGCCCUGGGGCUGUCCUGUGGUGACUGUGUCCAUUUAUAGCAUCAAAGAGCAGUCAAGAUACAGAUAUCAUAAAAGACCUUUUGGUGUAAGAAAAUCUUUAUUUGGUAAUAAAUUUACCUGUAUUUUCAACAUGGAAAAAUAAAAUAUUAAACUGU